AGUUCAAACAUGAUAGCUCAGUUGGAAGAGCAUGAGACUUUUAAUCUCAGGGUCAUGGGUUCGAGCAUGGCAGGGGGUUGGACUA